rnacentral:rRNA from 1 species
AUACGGAGGGUCCAAGCGUUAUCCGGAUUCAUUGGGUUUAAAGGGUCCGCAGGCGGGAAAAUAAGUCAGUGGUGAAAGCCUACAGCUCAACUGUAGAACUGCCAUUGAUACUGUUUUUCUUGAGUAUAGAUGAAGUGGGCGGAAUAUAUCAUGUAGCGGUGAAAUGCAUAGAUAUGAUAUAGAACACCGAUUGCGAAGGCAGCUCACUAAACUAUUACUGACGCUCAUGGACGAAAGCGUGGGGAGCGAACAGGAUUAGAAACCCUUGUAGUCC